rnacentral:ncRNA from 1 species
CUAUAGUUCUACAGAGAAUUAUGGCGGAAGGAG